CUUUGUCCUUAUUUUAUUGCUCUUGAGUCCAUUAAGAAUGACAGUUUGAUCUAUUAUCAGGGACUUGGCUCAAAGGGAAUGUAAAAUAAGGAACUUCAGGAUAAGUACUGCACCAUGCUACUUAGAAAACCAGAGUAAGCUCGUUUAAAUGUCAUUUCGGUACACAAAAAGCUUUUUCCAUGUUUACAACACCCAUUUUGGCUUUUGCUAACAUUCCAUUUUAUAAAAUUUCAAGUCAACCUACUACAGCAGCUUCACUGCAAGAUGAACUAACAAUCUGGUGGGCCUCCUAUCCUGAUGACCACUGAAGCACAGGGAUUUAUUUUGAAGAGCUAACACAAGUUAAAAAAAUACAGAAUGCAGACCUGUUUUUAACAGACAUUGCUGCUUGGAAGAGAGACAGUGCAAGACCUCAAUUAGAAAUUCAAAGAAUGACUUUGAGGAAGAUUGUUUUUCCUCUUCUAAUUCUGAACUCUGCAUUGGUUUUGUCUAACUUCUUCACACAGACUCAUACUCAGGAGCACUACAGAGGCCUGCAUAAAACAAGUGGCUGCCAAAAUACUUACUUUAAUGAUUUUUCAACCCAUUGAAAUGUGCUUAUCAUGGUAUCAUUAAAAAUCUCUUCACACAUCA